rnacentral:RNase_P_RNA from 1 species
GCUGCAAGCCAGACAGUCGCGGAGGGAGAGAAAACCCUUCGAGGAAAGUCCGGACACCGCAGGGCAAGGUGGUCGGGAACCCGACCCGGGGAAACCCGCGGGAAAGUGCCACAGAAACACACCGCCGAUGGCGCCCGUUCACGUGGCGGGCGCACAGGCAAGGGUGAAAUGGUGCGGUAAGAGCGCACCAGCGUCGCGGCGACGCGGCGGCUCGGCAAACCCCACCCGGUGCAAGGGCGAGCAGGACCGUUGACGCGGCCCGCCGAGGUCCAGGUAGCCCGCUCAGAUGGAUGACUGUCCACGACAGAAUCCGGCUUACCGGCUUGCUACGGGA